rnacentral:lncRNA from 1 species
CCUGCGUCAACUAAGCAAGUCUCCUUGCACUGAGCCAAAGGGUUUGUGCACCCUGAACCAGUUUUCAAUACUUAUUUUUAAAAUAAAGUGUUUGAACUGUGCAACACUGGAACGAAACCAAACAAAAGGUUCUGAAUCUAUGCUGCUUUUACAUGGAAACGGAGUUGAAGAGAGCGGUGAUAGCUGGUCCGGAAAUCAGAGCCAUGAAGUAGGAUGAUUUGGGCUGCUCCUCGGCCGGGUGCUCCUUCAACUGGGUCCCAGCUCCCUCAGCAAAACUGACUCUAGGAAAUUAUAUGGAACCAGCAAGAUGAACAAAAACAGACUGAUUCAUGAUUUCCUUGGCGUGGUUUCAAGGGGUGACGUGGAAUGCAUUUGUGGCCUUAUUCCUGAAGUCCACUCAGUCCUUGGAAAUCUUGACUUUCAGCACCCACAGACGGGGAAC